AACGAACGCUGGCGGCAUGCCUAACACAUGCAAGUCGAACGAGACCUUCGGGUCUAGUGGCGCACGGGUGCAUAACGCGUGGGAACCUGCCUUUAGGUUCGGAAUAACUCAGAGAAAUUUGAGCUAAUACCGGAUGAUGUCUUCGGACCAAAGAUUUAUCGCCUUUAGAUGGGCCCGCGUUGGAUUAGCUAGUUGGUGGGGUAAAGGCCUACCAAGGCGACGAUCCAUAGCUGGUCUGAGAGGAUGAUCAGCCACACUGGGACUGAGACACGGCCCAGACUCCUACGGGAGGCAGCAGUGGGGAAUAUUGGACAAUGGGCGAAAGCCUGAUCCAGCAAUGCCGCGUGAGUGAUGAAGGCCUUAGGGUUGUAAAGCUCUUUUACCCGAGAUGAUAAUGACAGUAUCGGGAGAAUAAGCUCCGGCUAACUCCGUG
rnacentral:rRNA from 1 species